AUGGGAGGCCGGCAUUUACGGGUCUCGUCACCAGUCGCUUGGGGACGUGGGGUUGCUUGUCCUCGCGGUGGCGCACGGCCAUAGGCUCCCCCCUCCCCCACUAAGCUGCGCACCCCGUCCUGGGCCUGGCCCGGGCCGCCCGUGGCAGGUGGCUGCUCGUCUCCCGUGUGAUGUUGUGGAAAGAAAAUAGGACCAGGCUCUCGCCCUGGAGGAAUGGGCGGGCGAAGCAAACCCCCGAGUUGCAGGAGGGGGGUAGGGGCCGGCCGCGGGGGGAGGAGCAGCAGCAGCGCCGGAGGGCGAAGGGGGUCACGCAGUUCUCAGGCCCAGUUUUUUAAAAGUUACAGGAAGGUGGUCGUCGCCCAUCCGUAAUUACGCUGCUUUCACCAGGCCUCGUAUGGUGUGUUCGCCCAUCCCUGACAAGCAGGGACAAGGUGGGGAGGGAGGCGACAUCUUCUCAUAUCCCGCUUCUGUCGGGCCUCUCACACGGGGACUCAGAAAGUGGCAACACCCUCUGCGAGAGAAGAGACUUCAGGCUUUGAUGUUGCUGAUGCUCUGAGUGAUCAGACAGUUUGAAAAGCUACAGGGAGGAAGAGAUCCCGGGGAAGGCUCAGAGAGGAAUUUGGUAAAGGAAGAACGACUGUGGAAGAGAAGAGGCAGGAGCAUGUGAAGGUCGGGACAGCCUGAGGCCUUGGUGCAGGCUGGUGAAGCCUGAGGUGGUCAAGAGUCAUGGGUCAUUCUGAGGCAUGGUCUUAAAUGAGGUUUCUAAGGCAUUGUCUCAGGUUUGGUUUGUCAAUGGGGGCUGGAGGAACGGUGUGAGAUCUAGGGAGCCAGUGGGGAAAGCAGGCUGUUGCCGGUGUUUUGAAGAAUUAGAAGUACGUAGGUGUCAGGACUUGCAGCAGCUUGGCUCAUCAGUUUUCCAUUAAGGAAAGGAAUGAGAAACACCAGAGAUCAGUAUCAGAGAAUGAAUGAUAUUCACACUUGUGGAACAGUGAGUUCUUAUUCACCAAAUGAUCAGGCAAAAAGUAUAGUGUUUAUGGGUUUCACACUACUGGGUGUGAAAACCUGAAGAUCUAGAGCGGAUGCUACAAUAAAAUCAGCAAUUUAGUGGACAUGGACAUACAAUUAGGAAGGUCAUUCUGCCAUCUUCUCUCAGAGCUGAAGAGAAACUUCAGCAUUCCAGUCUAGCAGAAAAUUCUACUCAAGCAUGUAUGAUUCUCCAAAUCUGCUCUAACUCCUGUUAUCCACUGUCAAACCAGAAAUAUUGGAGUGUACCUUGUAUGGCCCUCAUCUGUACUCCAGCAGCCAUCGUGCCGUUUCCAAAGAUUUAUAGUAAGUAGCAUUCACAACCCUCCAGAGUGCCAAACCCAAGCUGAGUCCGUUUAGUUCACGGACAGCAUCAAUCCACUCACAGUUAAGCUGUAGUGGGCUAGUCUGACUACACAGUCAGGUAUCACAUCAGAACCCACACUUCUGAUGAACAGCAAAACAACAAGCUGGCUCUGUAGGCUGUUGAUGUGGACCUCUGAAACCAGCUAUGCAGCUGCUUUACUUUCAGGUGUGGCUUGGCUCUGGAAGUAGUUUAGUCACAUUUGUAUAGUGUUUCUUUGACAGGUGAAACUUGAAAGAUUUCACCUGUGAGACUGGUAAGAUCUACAUAUGCAAGCUCUAGCAUCUCUUCAUUUUUGGCAAUUUGGGUAAACAAACCCAGCAUAACUGUGAUAAAUAAAAGUGAUUGUAUUUUGAUCAAGCUUUAGAUCAGAAUAAUGUUUCCCAAAAGCUUCAGAGCUAGUUGAAAAAAAAGGCAUCUUUAAAAGGAGUAAAUCAUCAUUUAUUCCAGGCUGUGUCUAUAUGUCAGGUUACUUCAUAGAGUACUCCUACUAGUCUUUAAGACUUUAAUUUUCUUUUAGAACUGCACGCUCUGUUCCUCUCCCACCCCCUUCAGAGAGGCAAGUGGUACUGUAACCUUGCUAAGACAUUUAUAAUUUUUAGAAAUAGAGAUUUUCUUUGCUGUAGAUUUUUAAAUACGCUCUUCUCAGACAUGAAUUGCAUUAAGCAAUUGAACAGCGCUACACAUGCUGUGGAUCAUGAUCAUGCUUCUCUGAAGCACGCAUAAAAUGUGUUAGGGUUUGAGUCACAUACAUUUGUUUGGUAUGGCUGUAAUCUGUCCAUGCAUCCCACUGUUCUUGCCCUAUUUAAGUGAUUGCAGCUCUUAUCUGCUUUAUCAGAGGAAAUGUGAUACAGUAGUAGCAGAAAGUUCUUCUUUUGUUGGCCUGAGUAAUCAGGAAUAGCAGUGAUAAUUACCAAAAGUGAUAUAGCUGCAUAGGUCUGGUUAGGAGAGAGCAGGAGGCUUUUUUCCCUUGCCAUGAACUCCUCUGCUAGGGUGGUGUUAGCACUCUCAGGCUCCCUGGAGCAGUCAUGUUGGGGAUGCUCCUGGCUGCAGGCAAAGGAUGGCACAGAGACAGAAGUAUGAUUUUUAGCUGCCAGAACAUAAGCUAUGCUCAGUUCAUACUUUAAAACAUUGAAAGCACAUGCUAGAAAAAAAAAAAUAAUGUAUAUAUUUUUAUCUUAAAGAUGAAAAUUACUGAAAUAAAAUGAAAAAUUAAAUGGAAUCUGUAGCCUCAAGGAUAUGUCUCAAGAUGAGCUCUCUGGCCUUCUUCAGAUUACUUUUCCAAUUUAGUGCUUGUGCCUUCAUGUCUUGUUUCUUCUUUUAAGAACAAGCCUGAGAUAGUAGCGAUGGAAGGGUUCCAGUGGCCUGUAGUCACUAAUAAGUGUAUAACCAAAUGUUUUUCAUAAACGUAGCAAACUGAUCACAUCUAGAUAAUGUUUGAUGUACUGUUAAAUCUAGUUGUGCAAUCAAAUGUUAAAAAAUAUUUUAGAAUUCGGUACCAAGACAAGUAUGUGUCUUUUAGAUUUCAUGUAUAGAAACAACCUGUUAAUCUGUAAUGAUAUUUUACGAAAAAUAGGGUAUAUUAAGCAAUUCUUCUUUUUCAAAAGGUUAUGGAUACCUGCUUUCAUAACUUUCUUUUUUCCAUGACAGGAAAAUAAAUGUCUUCCUUCAGUGUUUCUUGUUUCAACCACUUGUAUUUUGAGGUACAUUAGGAUACAAAAUGAAUGUGCCCUCAGAAAGUAUCAUAUGUUAUCACCUCUGUCCUACUCAUUGAUUGUAAAAUGUAAGCAUAAGAUGUUUUCCAUGGAAAUAUGUUGAUUUGUCUCUGGCUGUAGUUGACAGUGAGUCAACAACAGACUCUUAUGUCAUCUUUUUCUUAAAUCAAUAGGGUGUUUUGCUAAAUUUAUAAUGCCCUUUUUUUAGAAGCAACACAGUGCUUCGAACUGAGAAAAGUUAUAUGCCACCAUGAGUAAUAGUUUGAAGCCAAACAGUCUAUGAGCUUCCCUUGAAUGAGUCAUAUUGAAAGGAAGUUACUGUAUUUUGAAUCUUAAAUAAUAGGAAAAAAAAAUUCUGAAAUUAAUAUGUGUUGGCAAUUUGCCUGCAAUUUUGCCUGAUUUUGUUAAUUAGACAUGGAACAAUAUGUAAUUUAAUUUAUAUGAAUUGACAUUUAACUUAUAGAGUGUCUCUUCUGCUUAUGGGCUAAUAAUACACUAACAUUGGUCCUCUUACUCAUAGUCAGCUGAACUAUGUGCAAUAAUUUCAGAGGCUUUUAAGACUAACCAUUUACUUAGAGUGAUAAUCUAUUAGGUAUCUGUUUCUUACAUGCUGUUUCUAUCUUUAAGUAGGAAAGAUGAUGAAAGCUAUCUGCAUCUUGUAAAUAUGUCAAAAAUCCAAAUGUCUCUAGUUUCAUUUCUAACACAUAUAACGUUUUGGAAAAGUGAGAAGGUUAACUUUAUGUGAUUUUUUUUUUUCUUAUGAGAAUUUAAAUCUCUUAAUCAGUUGGAUUGAGUUGUUAUAGAUAUUAAUUUAGUUGUCUUUUACAGCGUAUAAAUCCAUCCUUUACCAACAGGGUACCAAAAAACACAAGGAAACAAUAAUUUCUUGCAUAGAGAUCACUAAAAUUAAUGUAGUAUUUUUUAAAGUUCAUAACAUAUAAUAUUAUAUAUUUUAAGUAAGUUUUAUGAGAAACAGAGAAAGAAUAUAUUAGGUCCAACAGAACUUACCAAAAAUUUUAGAUUUAUAUUGAGCAUGAGAUUACUUUUUAAAGGUCUUCUAACAGAACAUAAUCUUUUCUUUUAGCCUCCUCCAAACUCUUGAUGCUUUCCAAAAAAAAAAAAAACAAUUGAUAUUUUUCUCCUAAUUUGGCAGAGGUUUUACACUUUUUUUUUCUUGUUUUUUUGCUUUUUGGAUGAUGUAGUUGACUAUUAUUAAGGCUUUACUGUAUGUGCAGAUGGCUGGGGCAGUAAAAGUGAAACUUCAUAACUGUGUCUGAGGAGAGCAUUAUUUAGUAAGUUAUAUGAAAUGGGAUUGUUAGGUGAGAUGUAAAGGAUCUCUGGAACAGAUCUGUUGUCAACCAUUUAGUUAGAGUGCUUUCCUAGAAUCCUGUAUCUGUGGUUAUACAUCACAUCUUUAGGUAAAAAGUAGAAGAAAUUAAAUGGCCUGAAUAGUCUCCUCCAUUUUAUUCCUCCAUCUCUUGGAACAGUGGUGAGAAAGUAAAAAAUUAUGAGACCUUAGCUAGGUAAGAUAACCUGAAAUCAGUUAAUUGAAUGGAACAAUAUGCAUAUUAGUGAGCUAUGUGCAAGUAGCAAGCAUUGGGUUAGUUUCACAAUUUUAUGGCAUGUAAAGGUAGGUAGGAGAUUAAGUGAAGAGUGAAUGAAAGAAGAUGGGUACAAGGAAGAGGCAGGAAACAAAGGAUGAGAGAGACAAAAAACGGUAUGACAAGAAACUGGGGCCUGAGAUGUUACAGAAAGUUGCAGAAAAUAGCUAAUGAGAGUAGUGCAAAACAAAGCUCAAGUUUGUUUGUUUGUUUUCCAUUUUGACUACACAAAUCUCUCUGGCCUCUUCUGCAGCUGUUUCUGCUACUACUAACUGCAAUAUACUUUCUGCCUUCAGCUGUUCUCAUACAAAGCCAUAUAGAUUGGAGCACAGCUAGACCCUAGUAUCUGCAUCAUGGAGGAAGUGUCACUAGCCCAUUUUGGAAAGGUUCCGAAAAGCAGGAGUGGCUAAAGAAGGAAAAGAAAGCAAAAAGAUAGCAAAGACAAAUCUUGUAAGUGAAGUAUGCCAAUACUGAGAGUGAUAGACUUGGGCUCCUCCAUGCAUACCUAUUUGUGUGAUAUACUGAAUGCUUUCAGGUGCCUCACUUCUAAGAGAUAUUAACUUUUCAAAGGAAUAGCGGCCGCAGAGUACCAGGGAGCAGCAAGAGCAGGACUCUAAGGUUAAAGGCAAACCAGGAGCUGGGAGCAGCCACAGCACAGGAUGAGCGGUGUCCUAAUUGCCAGGGCACAGUCCAAUAGUACCUGAGCUGGAUAAACAAAGCAGAGUGGCAACAAAUCUAUGAACAGUCCAGGGAUCAUAAGGCAAAAGCAAGGCAACAAGCCAGAUCUAAGUUGAAUCCAGGAAAUCCAAACAAUGCAGGAAUGAGAAUGGGAGGUACACCUACAGCAUACAGCAACCCGAGGCUAAAUGGGUCUUCUGGGGCCAUAGGCAGGGGUUGUGAGUGGAGGUCUCAGGUGGGGAGCUCAUCAGGGCCAUUACAGCACUCAGUACUGACAUGAAGUUUUUCAACUGAUAAAGCCCAAAUGGAGCUCUUUCAUGACAUAAAUUGGCAGGCCAAACUUCGCAGUAAAUACGUGAGUGCAGAGUAUAAUAUCCAGAUUAAGAUUAUACUGAUUAGUCAUGUUUAAAGUACAUCAAGUUAAAAAGUUUCUGAUUUUUUCAGAUUACCUUAGGUAGGCAUUAGGUCUCUUGUAGAAAUUAUAUGGCUAAAUGUUGUGAUAAGAAACAGGCGUGUGAUAUUUCUCAUUUGUUCUAUUUGGCCUGAUGCAUGUAUCUUACUGUGCGAGACUAGGUCAAGUAAGCAGACCAGUUCUUGUGUUGUCUUGAGUAAAUGCCGAAGGUCAAUGUUUUCCCCUUGCUACAUAUUGGUAAUAGUGGAAGAUGUUAUUAAAGCCAACUUGUUCUUGCAUGCAACUACAGGACUGAGCAUUUUAUACUCCAGAAGGUAUGAAUAAGUUCCUAAGUCUCAACCCUUUAAAUAAUCUGAAAGAUUGUUUCAUCCUGAUACCUGGUAGUUCUCAAUUUUCUACUAACCCAAAGAAAUAAAAAAAACACAAAUAAUCAAACAGUUGGCAACAAAACAGCUCUGUAUUUUCAUAGAGAUUGAAUGCCUUUAACUGUUUUACUCAAUUUCUUUCCAUUUUUUCAUGCAGUUACAUGAAAGGAAAAAAAAAUCCAUUGAAGAAAACUCAGGUAUGAGAGAGGCAGAUUUAUUUAAUUGUUUUUUAUAUAGUGUGAAAAUUACUCUGCUAAAGUCUGCAACAUCUCAAGUAAAAUAAUAGCCUGAAAUCAAUGGGACUACAUGCAACUGUGAGGGUAGGUCUAUGUGCCAUUUCUUCUUGUAUGUUGAGCCUUUUAGUAGCAUGACAGUCGUCAUCAGACUCUGAGAUAGAAAAGUAUAAAUGUAUUCUGUCAGCAUUAUGCUAUACAUUACAGCAAUGAGGGAGUCUGAUCCUGGAACAAUUAAAAUCUCAUUGUAUUAAAGAAGAAUAAUGCAAUUAUUUAGGUUAUAUGUUAAGUUUGCCUCUGUAUGACUUACCACCCCUCUACUCAAGCAGGCAAAAAUUCGAGGACAAUACAAACAUCUUUUUCCUCCACCGAUAAAUGAAUUGUGUUUCAUUGACUUGCUCUGCUUUUUCUUUGUAUAUUCUGGGAUAUGAUCAGUCAGAAGAUGCAAUCGUGAAAAUGUUUUACAAUGUGUAGACAACAAUAUUAGAGAAUGCCCACUAAUUAUUUGUGUUUACUUUCCUGUUUUUGAAGUCCGUAUCUAGCUAUUUUUUAGGUGUUUCAGUGCUUAACAUAACCAUUUCCUAUUGAAAAGAUAGAACUCGAAGCAUACUCUAGAUUACAGACAAAUCUAUCUGUGGCAGGUAAACAUGCGUAUUUAGAUUGUGCCAGCAUCAACUUAGAUCAAUGAACAAGGUUUGCGCUUAAAUCUUACUUUGGCUUUGAAGUAGUCAGUAAUUGCAGUGCCCUGCUGAUUUAACAUUUGUUCUCUAGAAAGAAGGCUUGUACUGCAGAAUGGGAGAUGAAGCUCAAGAACUUUCCUUUCUAUAAGAAAGUAACUGAUACUUUUUCUCAGUGUAAUUUAAUUCACCUGAAUAAAGCCACUUGUAUUUUUGGCAUAAAAUAGCAAACUUGAACCCAUAAUGAAGACAAAGGUAGUGAUUAAUACCUAUGAAAAGAACAGCAUCCAAGGGGUUUCAAGUCUCUGGUGCAGUAGAAGCUACCACAAGCUACCCAGCAUGGAAGUUACUUACAUGCUUUUAGCACGUAGCUAAAACAUGUAUGACACGUGAAAUUAUUUGAUAUACAACUGGAUUCAUGGGUUUUCUUCAUACACAUCUGUCUAAAGGGUAACAUUACACAAAUAUAUUAAAAGUAAAUAUAUAAAACAAACAAACAAACAAAAAGCCCACACAGCUAGGGCUAUUUAAUCACACUCAACUUUGUAUGCAUCUUUUAACAUUAAAAAAAAACUGUAUGAAGGCUACUGCAUAGCUCUUCAUAUAUUUAAUGUUGCCAGGAUCUCCAGAAUGUUAUUUAGGAAUAUAAAAGAAAAAGGAACUGCAGUAAUUUCUGAACCUCAACUCCCAACAAGAAGAGGGUAGAAGCAUCUUAUUUUCUGGAAUAAUUCACUAGAAACAGAUUUUAGAAAGAUACAAUGAAAGAUGCAUCAUAGGCAUCUAAGAGCUGUUCUGAAUAAUUUUACAAAUGGCACACUUUCUUGGAUUCUAGUUUAGGUUUUUUUCUGUUAUGACACACAAACAGCUUUAGACAUUGUUCAAUCCAACUUUUUCCCAGAUCCUUAAAAAUUUCUUUGCAUUUUUUUGCUUAGAACAUUUGGACCCUUUAGACCCUGACUGUCAGGGUAGCUUCACUUUGAUGUGUAAUGUGAGCGUGCUGCCUGCUGUUAAAAUAUCAUCUAGCCAAGUGACCCUGAGGCUUUUUUCAUGGCCUUUCAUUUGGUACUAUCUUUACCAUCACUGACAUUAAUAAAGUCAAUGUAGUACCUUUAUUUAUUCUAAUUUCCUACCCUGCAGCAAGGAGGGAUCAUUCCAGAAGAUAACAGUAGCUCUUCUUUAUUCUGGUAAUUAAGUGUGAAAAAAGUGCUACAGAACUUUCAUUUAAUUCAUUUACUAACCCCCUUCAAUCAUUAGAAUUAAUUUAUGUUAUCACAGGCUAAUCAGUUUUCUGCAACAGAAAUAAACGGAGUAUAUGGUUGUAGUGUUUGUGUGGCUUUUUAAAACUAAUUUAGCUGUUGCAGAAGAACGACUCCAUUCAUUGCAAUCAGAACUUGGGAAUCAAAACACAGCCAGAUAGUGAGAGUGCAGACUGUAAUAAGUACUUGAUUUGUGACAAAGAGCUGUAAUGUCUGGAGACGUUCAUAGUUAGAGGAUGAAAUAUACUUUUCAUUUCACAAAAAAAGACAGGACAUGGAAACACAUAAAGGUGAGGACCCAGCAUUAUAAUAAUGCCAAUUGCCUUUUUAGUGAGAUGUAGUGUAAACCUUCCAGCAUGCUAGGGUGUAAAUCUGAACAGCUAUAACCAGUUUCCAAAAUCUCAAACCAACUUAUGCAAUACCUAUAUUUUAUCUGAAGCCAUAAAAUCUUAUUAAAUAUAAAUAUACAUAUUAAAAAAUAAUGCUGGUAAUAAUAUUCUUCUUCAAUGAUGGGUUAAGUGCCUUCUAAAUAUUCUUAGGGUUAUUCCUGUGUACUUUUUUCUUUUUUUUUUUCUUGGUAAUGGUCAACGGGAUCAGUAACGUCCAAAGUUGGUGUUGUUGCAAAGGUCAGUAACAUCCAAAAUCUUUGUUACUUCCUCUGCCUAACGAUACAGUGUAAAUUCUUUGGGUACAGGGAGUGUCAUUAUAUUGUUUUAUUAUUGCAUCUCAGCUAUCAUAAUGCUCCGUUUUAAUAGAUCAAAUAGCUUCUGACCUGAUAUUGAUGUAGUAAUCCUUCUGCUGAUAACUUUUCUCAUUUUGCAAGAGUUGCUUUCAGAAACACAGUCAUUGGUUAGCACAGAGGAGGGAGGGACAUAUGUUACACUACUCCUAAUUUUACUAAUUUUCAAUGAGACCUUGGAUUUGUCUUAAAAAUCUCUGGAGCACCUUAAUUAUGUAAUCACUGUAUUGAGGAAAGUUUAUUAUAUUGCUGCAGAGAGAUUUAUGUUCAGUCAGCUUUCUACUGUUGUUUCUCCUUCCAUCUGGGACAUUGAUCUUCACCAAAGAGAUUGACUUCUUUAGCUUAUUUUUAGAUUAUUUUUCUUCAUAGUGUAAUUACUGGAACAGCAUUGUAAUGCUAGCAAAAUGCAAAUGCUCCCAGGCCUGAAACACUACAAAAUGGCUGGAAAGAACCUAAACUAAAUGGGUGAUAUGAAUUUGGUGGGGUUUCUUCCUCUGUGAGACAGAAGAUUGGCUCUGUUUCUCUAAAAGGACUUGGAUCUACCAAUCAAUUCAUAUAAGUAAACACUUUUACUCAUAGAGAAAAUAAAGGACUAGGGCAUUCGUUACUUCUGCCCACUCUUCUUAUAUUUAAACCAAAGGCUUUAAUGGAAGUUGAAGGAUAAUUUUAAUACAAUUAAAUAACACUGAAGUAAUGAUACUUUUUGUUCCCAUAGCUUUUCAAUGUAAAGAUAAUUAUCUUUCCAGAUCUCUGUAGAAUAGGCAAGUAUCGUCAUUAUCCUUAUUUUAUAGAGAGUACAAUGAAGCACAGCAAGGUUAAACAAAUUUAUCAGAAUUAGAAGAAAAAUAAGGAAAACCAAGAAUAGUACUCUAAUUUCUUGACAUCUUGUUCUGUUCCGUUUUCACAAGAUCAGCCUUUAUUAAGUUGUCAUCUGAAGCACCUUUAACAGGUUAUAUACCCAUGGAGAAUUUAAAUGAGAGGCUUCUAAAGUUCAUUUAGGAAAUGAAGUAUCAAGACAGGAGUAUAAAAAGCAUUGCACUAAAGAUGAAUUUUUGCCAGGUAUACACAGUUAAAGUCCCUGUCAUGCUGCUUUGGUGUAUGCAAAUUGCCUGUGGACUUCCUUUUUAUGACUGGAGCACUCACCAAAACAAAGCCGAAAAUGUGAUUAUAUAGGAGAUAUGGCCAGCUUGUGGUACUGUGAGGUUCCUCUGAGCAGAACAUGUUUCCUGCUACUGUAAAGACCCCAAAAUACUGGAGAUGUCCUCUGGUAGCUUUUGUACUGCGAGCCUUAUAUUUUUUUCAAGGCAAAGGGGAGUGAUCUAUAAUUCCUGACAUGCAGGGACAGAGCUCUUUGCUUUUAUUUGGGCCCUUUAUCUUGCUUGUGUCUGAUUAUGGGAAGUUGAGCAAAAUGGAUAUGGAUACCCACCUUUUGUUUUGUUUUGUUUUCAUUCUUCAAUAGAUCUUACCAGAUUUUGGAGACUUAAAGGUGAAGUCAUUAGAAGCAAAAGAGUGUCCUGGGGAAAUCAUAUGAUAGAUAUCCACUUAAGGAAGCUUUAAAAGAAAAAUCAGAAUCAACACUUAAACUCAGUAUUUUUUCUGUGGGAAAAAGAAAAUAUACUUUAAUAUUAAAAUGUAUAAGCAAUAUACCAAAUGGGUUUCCUGAAGUGAGUAAAAAAUUACAAUCCUGACAUUUCUAUUUAGAUUUGUCUUUAGGUGGAUGACAUUUCUAUGAGUUCAAGAGCUGUUUACAUGAUUUUUUGCAAAUAUCUUCUACAGCAAAAUUUAGCUACUUUCAUCAGGCAUCACUGCCAGUUGCCAGGAAAGUGUCAGAAUUCUUCUCAGUAAAUCUGUUUCUACAAAUUUGUCCCAGGUAGAAAAAACAUUUUUGCAAAGAAAAUGAGUCUUCUGACUAAAGGGAAAAAAAAAGAGAGAGAGAAAUCUAGUUAUUUAGAAUGAAAACCCUAAAAAAACCUUAUUACUAAAGACUAUUUAAUUUCAUCUUUCUCCAUUUUUUAAUAAUAUUAUUUGUAUCCUUGUAGUAAGUUCUACUGAUUACUGCUUGAAUAAUUGGUUAAAAAAUGCUUUACAACCUCUAAAAUUUUUUUCUAACAGGUGAGGAUGAAAAGAUUGUUACACUCUACAAAAGAACAUUUUUUUACAUAGUUGUUUCUCUCUAAUAUUUUCACUGUCUAUUUUACAUCUGAUAGGUUAGCGAUUUCUGCAGUCCAUGCUUAAAUAAGCCAGUACAGUUGUAUCUCACACAGUGAAAACAAUUUUACAAAAUCAGUUAUUUCUUCAAGUUGGGAGUGCUGCCGAAGGGACGUACUGCUGAUGGGUGCACCCCAUCUCCUGUGGUGUGAUAGACCUGAACUUCCUUGUGAACGGAGCCUCAAACGCUGGCUCCCCAAAGUGGCAGCAGUAAUGAGUAUUCUACAAAAAUACUAAAUUAGUUCUGGUAAGACAUGAAAAUAAAGUCUUACUGCACCUCUGAUAGUAUUUGGGCAUUUGUUUAUUUUGUUUGUUAAUUUUUUUCUCUGACAGGAUCUAUCCUGGUACUUCAAUUUAAAGGACUGUAAACAAGGAGUGCUUUUUCCUUAUGAGGGGCAGCUAAAGUCACUUGUUUUUUUCAGCCUGGUGGAGGUACAGCUUCCUCACAAGGGGAAGGCAGGUGCUGAUCUCUUCUUUUUGGUGACCAAUGACAGAACUCAAGGGAAUGUCAGGAAGAUGUGCCAGGGGAGGUUUAGGUUGGACAUUAGGGUGGUAGAGCACUGGAACAGGCUCCCCAAGGAGGCAGUCACAGCUCCAAGCCUGACAGUGUUCAAGAGGAGAGUGGAGAACGCCAUCAGACACAUGGUGUGAACUUUGGGGUUGUCAUAUGCAUGGACAGAAGUUGGACUUGAUCUUGUGGGUCCCUUCCAACUCAGGACAUUCUGUGAUUCCAGGAUCAACAGUGCUUUCUCAGUAAACACGUAGACCGUGUCUGAAAGGUCUCCAAGGCCCCAGUCUGAGGUUCAAAGCAAAUAAUAAAGGAAUUUAGAUGCUGUGGAUGCUGUGUUUGCAUCUCUUUCUUUGUUAAAUAAAACACUCUUGGGUAGGUUUUGGGAAUGUUUUUUGAAGAGAGUUAAGUGAAAGCUUGGUACAGAAGAAGAAAAGAAUUACAAGCUUAGGCAUUGCUUGGAAAGCAUGUAUUUUGUAAGACCCCAAUUUCAUCACAAAAAUACGACACUUUUCUACUGGGAUUUUUCAUGUUUAACUAAUGUAACAGACCUGAGUCCAGAUUUUGUUGCAAAACCUCUGUUGCUAGACUGACAUCUGUCAGAACCCAUGUGGUUUUUUCCUGCAAACUUAUGAAUUAAUCUUUUCAUUUGGAAUGAUCAUGGAAGCCAUCACACAGAACUUGCAGUUCGAGGGCUACUCAAGCUUCUAAGUCCACUGCUCCAGAGAGUUAUUGAAGGUCAUUCAGCAGCCCUGUCUGUAUGACAUGCUAGAAUGUGUCACAGAUAGGAAGUAGAAAUGUGUAGACAUUUCUCUUUAUUUAAAAAGGAUUGUGUCUGCAAGCAUAAUGCCAUUAGUUUUCCUUCUCAGGAGUUUCUUAACUAGAGAAAUGUCAAAAGGCAAAACCCUAGGGGAACUAUUCUGGUAUGAUUUGUCUUUAAAGAUAGUGUUCAGGAGAGGCAAUACACUUGUUAAAAGGGUAGGUGUUUUAAUCUGAAGUGAAAAAUGGAAGGCAUUCUGUAAAAGACUUGAAAACAAAUUCGUCACUUCACACAUUAGGCUAUAUAGAGAUGAGAUUUUGGCACAGUGUUUGAGGAUAAAUGGUAUGUGUAUUUGAUCAAAGAAGUUUUUGGAGAUUGGCUGAAUAUUAAAUAUGUAAAUAUACUUGCUUCAAACAAGUAUGUAAUUGGCAAGAAUGAUCAAAGUAUCCUUUCAAAUCUCUAAACAGAUACCAAGUAUGCAUUUUCCAGUGUUCAGAAUUGUGUAUGUGUAUAUAUAUACAUAAUUUUUUUUUUCCAGAGCCUCCUCAUCUCUUCUUGGAGAAAAACAUCACACUGAUAAAGAACACUUAUUUUGAAAGGCUGAAAAAGAAACAUUUGUUGUGAUAUAUUGAUUUUUUUUGGAAGCAGCUGAUGGUGGCAAAGUCUGCUCCAUCACUCAGGAGUCUGACAACCCUGGCAACAGGCUGGCCAAACUGCAUGAAUCUGGUUUUUACAUUGCUUACAUCCCUGUGCUAGCAGCUGUUAUCAUACUAUUAGCCUUCUGUAGUCCUCAUGUAAUCUCUUGAAACUUACAUGGGGGCUCCAUGCUCUGAGACUACCUGCCAAAUACUUUAAAAAAAAAACAAGAAUCAUCACCACCUCUCUCUUUUAAUUUUCCUCCUGGGGGAGAAAUAGCUUGAUUAGUCUGGAUGAUGAUAGGAAACUGGAGGAUAUCCAAUUAGGCUUUUUCAGUGUGAAGGAUUUGUUUCAUUUAUUUCCAUUCAGCUGAAGUUAAUGAGGUUAUGCAGGUCUGAUUUCAAAGGGCACAGUUUUGAAACGAUGGGUUUUGCUCAGGUACACUGUAGCUUUAAAUUGGUGAUUUGAUGAAGUUGCAUAAACUGGAGUAUAAUGCAGUUUCUUCUCCCAGAGAUAAGGUGGCUCAGCAGUGAAGACAUGCAGUGAUUUUUUUUUUCCCUCUUCCUACUAGCGCACACAAGAACAGAUCUGCUGAGUAGGAAGUGCUAUUUUUACAUAAUCACUUUUCAAACCAGGGCCUCACUGUAGACAUUUUGAAGAGACCAAACUAAGCAUCCUAGCAGUUGCUUCUUCUCCAGCUGCAAAACUGCAUACCAGAAGCUGUAGUGUAGGUCAUUUAAUGAUUUGAUAGUCUCCUCUUUGUCUGUUCCGCUGUCAACUAGCUGAAGUAUUUCGUGAUAAGUGUUCUUCACAUUUCUCAGGUUAACCAUCCAGAAAUUCCUUGCUUAGAUACAAACAGCUUAUGAUUGAUUGAAAUAGAUUUUUGAAUUGUAGGUGUAUAAAGAUAAUGUCAAUGUGAUUAUUUUGUUUUGAAAAUUCUUUUUAACUUACUGGGAUGCAUUACUGUAAAAUCUGAGCAUCUAAUUUAUUAUCUCAAUCAUCCCUUUGAGACAGAGAAAUGUUGUUAUCCUUGUUAUUCAGAUGAGAGGUGUUUUGCUUAAAGUCAUCCAGGACCCGCAUAAAAGAGUAGGUAGCUAAAACCGUCUUUUGUAUCUCAUUCUAAAUUGUUCAAGUGCUAACAAAGUAGCAGACGUGAUUAAAGUGUUUGUUUACAGGUUGAUGCAGAGGCAUCUCUCCCUUGAUCAUGCUAGUGACUCUUACCCUCACUUCUUUUUUAGACUCCCUCCAGCUGCUGCCAUUGACCUGCAGUUCCUCAUCUUGGCACCAGUAAUAGGGGCAGCAUAUUUUUCCCCAUGUGGGUUAGGCUAAACCUCUCUUUAUUUCAGGUUUUGCUAUAAUCUGGAAUGACUCUUAGCAGCUCCCUUCUGUCUGUUGUCUGUCAAAAAGAAAAAAUAAUGUAAAAAGAAAAAAAACUCAACAAAACAAAAACAAAAAUAAAUCGACACAUUCAUAAAUCAUAGAUCUGAAGAUGAUGUGGUAACAAUAACUAUUCAAAACAUUUGUUGAAAGCCAACCUUUUGCCUAGAGAGUAUAACUUUUUUUUUUUUUCUCAAUAAGUUUAUGAAAAUUUACCACAUACAUAUUUAGUCUUUCUUCAUAGUUUCUGGAGAAGUUUUUAAUUAAGAAAAUUUGGCUGACCUGAGGCAAACCUUUCUGCAUGCCAACUGGGUUACACAGUGUUUGUGAUAUUCAGUUGACUUCUAAAAAAGUGUCAAAAAAAGCAGUAGGAAAUAUAAGGCAUUUUUAAGGCUUCCUUCCAACAUGAAGCAUAAGCUAUUUCUUUUUUUUUUAACCCGGAGAACUUUCUCCUUGACUUUGAUAGCUCAAAUUUCAGAGCACCUGUGUAACCUUUUACAGCAGCAUAACAUGGGGCUGCAGGGCCCAUAUCCAGAAACGGGCUUUGGGUUAAGUUCUAGUUUGCUGAUAGAAGUUACUAAACAUUAGUCUGCUUAAAGCACUUUUUUGUUUGCGUUAAAGAGUUUUAUGUCUCAGAUACUGUCAGUAUUAACAUUGGAGUUUGAAUUAAUAUUGCUCUAUAGUUUCUCAUGAAUAUAUAUUUUCUACUUGUCAAGAGAGCUCUGUUCAAGACCAAUUAGCAUUUGCAUCCCAGCAAAAUCCUUUUUGUUUGCAGAGCAGCCUAGAUGAUACUGAAGGUUAAGAUCAUUUCAGGCUUAGCUAGACAAGGACUUUUCCCAUCUAUGACCAACGAACUGUUUUGUUGAGUUCCAAAACAAGCAGAAGGAGAACAUUCGCAAAGUUUCAGUGCAUAAUUUGUAUAAAUGUGUCUGGUCAUUUAUCCUUUUAUUGGAGACAUUUUCCAUCUGGUCCACUGAAGCAGAAGGGAACAGUAUUUUACUUUUAGGACUGGGCUUAAAUGCAAACACUGUACUUACAAAUAUUAGAUUUCUGAUAUACACAUUAUUAUAAGCUAGUAAUUUGCUGUGCCAGUAUUCCAGCAAGGAAGCAAAACCACACUGGAUGAACAGGAGAGUGCAUCCUACUCGGUAACGGUGUUCUGUAAAUCACCUUGAAAAUUACCCAAUGGACUUGUGAUAUCCAAGCAAUAGAUUUAAGUCACUGCAUAUCCCUGUCUUGUAAAUAAACAAGUAAUUAUAAUGCUUAUGUCUGAAGAUCUAAAGUUACAUACUCAUCUACAAACUGGGAGAGCUGGAAUGCUUUGUGUGAUAAAAAGACAAUUGGCUGCUAUACUCUUUACAACCUUUUGUAAAAAAAAUGUUCUACUGAAGAAAUUGCAUUUAUUCUUACUAUUUGGUGACUUACAUUCAUUUUAAGUUUUUCUUUUCUUAAAUGGCAAAGUUUCAUCAACAACUACAAUGAUAAUUUAGUAUUUUUUUCCUAGAAAUAAAUGUAUUAGUUUACAUAGUUUAUUCUCUAUGCUUUAUUUUUAAUGUGUUUCAGAAAUACAGAUGUUUCAAAAUUAUGUCUGCUAGGUUGAGUUAAAAAAGGUUCUUUAUCCUGAUAUAUACUUUUUUUUUUAAAGACAAAAACUCCAUAACGUUUUAGAAAAAUUACUAGUAUGUUACAGUUAAGAAGCGUAUAUUAUUUGUUUACCCAUAGUUAUGCAUCAGUGCAUUAGUAUGUGAACUCUGCUGCUGAUUACUUUUCCUGAAGACCCUGCUUCAAUCUGAAGAGCAGAAAUACAACAGAAUUACCAGCUACCAAGAUAUUACAUGGAGGGAGGAUGAAAAGAUGAUUGAAAAGAUGAAUGGAGAAUGGGCAUAGGCAACUUCUCUCUCUCUCCAAUCCCAUCUAACUGAUGGUGUCUUUCUUUGAAAAAUAGUAAGUAAAGGUGGUCAUGGAAAAGUAAAGAAAAAGGUAUAUGAAGUGGUAACUGGAAACAGACUUCAAGUGCAAGUAAAGGUACUGUCUCUGGACAUCUUACUCCUGUGAUAUUCCAAAAGCCAAUUGUUUUUCAGAAGGACAACAGAGAUAUAUCUGAUGGAUAAACUGAUAAUUUUUCUUGACCAAAGUUUUAGAGCAUAGUAUUUAUAUAUAGCCUUAUAAAUCUACUAGCUUGUAAGAGAGAACUCACCUUCUUAUGUCAAAGACCAUCAGUCUUAAAACUUGCUAACCUUUACAUCUAAGACAAAACACAAAGCAUUAGCAAGACACAGAAAGAAAAGGAAAAAAGUCCACAACAUAACUUACAGAGUUCUAGCAGGAGAGGAAGAAGAGAGGAUAGAUGAGGCUUUUUGAAAUUUCAGACGUUCUGUUUUGUUCCAUUCCAGCUGUAUUUAAAUGCUACUGUUGCUGAAAAGUGUUGAGAUAAUCCAACAUAAACCGAUCUAGACAUUAAAGACAUUUUUGCCUUUGGUUAGAUUGUUAGUGACAGUGUUGUUGGUUGCAAAGGGCUGAUUGUGAAAGCAGGCGAACAAUAAUAAUUCCAAAAGUUCAUUUUAAUAUGACAGAGCUGACUGGCGGCUUAUUAUAAAUAACAGCUUCAUAUAAACAAAAGCAGAAGGGAAUUCACUUCCUUAUCCCCAGCUGUUUUUAUUUCUGGAGGUGACACACACACACACAAAGUGAAAAUAAAAAAUUAAUAAAAGUAACUCUUGCUUGUAAAGUGUCAAACUUGUUUCACCUACACACAAGUUUUAUUGAAAAUUAUUAAAAAAAAACCAACCAACAUUCCAAUUACUUCAAGUUUUGCAUCCCUUUGACUGAAAACCAUUCUAUACAUUCAAAAAACAAUCUUAUUUUAGGUCACGACUGUCCUGUUACGAUGAGUACUCUGCUUGUGUCUUUAAGUUUUCUCAAAGAAAUUCCUGUGAAAGCUGUCUUGGCAGUUAACCUGGGAUGUGCUAAUUUGGCCGAGAAAGCUACAGUCCAUUUUUAAGUGUCUGACUGUAUUUCAGUCUUAAUGCAGCUCUCGGCCAGAAGAGUUAGUGAAGAUAACUUGCCCCACAUAACACAUCUUCAGGUAUGACAACCAGUUUGUUUCUGUGGGGAGGGAGGCCCAAGUUCACUCUGACCGCUCAACUGAGUAAAAACUGCAUAGCAAUGUAAGAUGAAGACAAGACUGAGACAAUGUGAGUAAGUUCUCACCACCCUCAAGUUACCACGUUCUCUACAUGUGGCAAUUGAAUAGUUAUUUCUCAUAUUUGAGGCUAGCACUGUGACACUGGACUAUCCUUUUCUUCCUACUGGAAGCAUUUGGCGUUUUUGUAAAUGUAGGUAUCAACAUCAAGUAAAAAAAUGUAAUGACUGAUCUGUCUGAUAUGUUCUUAAGCCAUUAGUUCUGGCUGUUUGGAGGGACGGAGACAGGAGGAUAUGGAACUUCCUAAAUGGAAAUAGCAGCAGUUGUCAAGAGAUGUAUUUGAAGGCAUUCAGUAUCAUCUGCUGCAAGCAUGAGAACCCGGAAAUUGAAGGCAUGUCUUCCAGUGUUACAUGGUGCCAUUUGUCACAGCAAUCGGAACAGGAUCCAAAAAACUGGGAGGCUACUGGGGUGGCAGAACACUGACAGAUUUGCUCUAUGGUAAAUCACUUAGUCAAAUCCAGUCCAAAUAAACCCUGAAGAGACCAGCUCAGGAAAGGUUGGGGGAAAUGGAAACUCCUGCUGCACACAACGGUUCAAAUGAGUGAUUGCCAUAUAGAUGCUAUUUGUGGCUUACCGACUUCUGGGCCUUGGAACAGGCCAUUUAUUUUUUAAAAAAAUAGUUGCAUUUAUAGGGCAUUCUGUCCCUGGAUAAUUUUAUUGACAAGUAUGUGGUUAAACCUGCAGUUUCUCAGACAGUAUUGUAUUGAUUACCUUUCACCUUUUAUUAUAUACUCCUUAAAGACCAAAUCACCCAGAGUACAUUAAAGCAUAAACUGACUUUCAAUUGCAUGCCUUUUUAUUAUGCUAGGUACUUUGGAGUAGUGGCAUGGCAGUUUGCAGAGUGUGUUUACAGCUUCCCCUGUUACUGUACUUCCAUAAUAUCUAAAAAAAUAGGGGGAAAAAUUCCAUUUAGAGAUAAGAAUUCACUCUACAGAGAAGGUAAUUGAAAUAAAAUGUGAUUAAAUUAAAUGGAGUGAGGUCAGACAAUAUUGGAACAAUAAGUAUUUGUUUAAAAUAAAAAAAUGUGCAAAUCACGUAUGUGAAACAAAGAGAAAACAAGGUGCAAAUUUAACUGAAUCAAUCCUGAACAAGAACGAAGUACAAGGUGAAACAAGAGAAUUAUAGUUGAUACACAAAACCAAAAAAAGAGGGGGAAACCAUCCUCACAAAAAAUAGACUCUGUCUUAAAACAGGUAAAGGUCAACCAAUCCAAAAGUGACACGAAUAAACAGAACCAUAUUCUAUACUAUAUAUAGUGGGUUGUACUUUAGUUACAAAACCUGAAAUGUAGGAAGAAUACGUUUCUGUCCUCAGUUUAAUAUUUUAAUUCUUCCCCAGUCCUAUCCUUUGCCCCAGCCCUGUUUUGUCUUUCUCAGCUGUUUUUUCUGACCUGUCUCACUUCAUGUUCGGUGGGAAGCGAUGGCCCUCCUUUACAGGACUUUCAGUUCAUCAUGAGAGUAUAAGAGACAUGAGAAGUGCUAAUAAAUUAAGCAAGGACCCAAUGAUCUGCAAGGGGACAUGUUUCGACCAGGGUUAAACUUUCAGGUUCUGCAGCAUACUUAGACCAGUGUCAUACUUGUGUGGCACCUCAGACUAUGCAGGACCUCAGUGAAGGUGCAAUAUGGGUUCCUAGACUGUCUCCUAGGGCUGAUAUAUCUUUUUCAGCCACUAACUGCACUAGGUUGCUGCAAGUAGCAGGAUGGAGGAGGAAGAUGAAUCAUUUGGAUUCUGCUCCAUGGACUGACUUAUCUCUGACACUUACCUCCGAAACAACUGAUGCAUCAUCGCAGAAAGGUAGCCCGCACUUCCCACUCAUCCUUGUCAACAUGCAGUCCAGUGCAUCCCAAGCUGAUUAUUGGUGAGAUGACUGAGGAUAAAUUAAUCCCUAAAGACCUUGCUUAUGCAGCUCAUCAUAUUGAAAAUUAUUUUUAUUCUCUCAUAGUAGCCUCUGGGCAGACCUGCAUGACUAAUCACAAAAGCAGAACUGCAAAACUUAUUGUUCAACUUGUGCUCCUUUGUUGUUUCCCAUCUGCUUGUCUCUGUGUAAACAAACAGCACAUGCUGAUGAAUAUAUGGCUCAGGUGGGUGAGACUAGAAGGUGGGAGAAUACUCCAGCAGAGCAAAAUGCUUCCUACACUGGAGCUGGCUGAGCCUUGGGAAGACAAAAAUCCUAAGUUUUUUUUCAUUUACCAACAGGUACAGGACUUUUUAUUUCCUUUUAUAUAAAAAUAUUUACCUUUUUUUGUUGUUGUUGAAAAGCAAAAAUAGAUGGUAGAGAUAACAAACUAAGACUCUUACCUUUUUCACCCUGUGCACAGGCUGGCUGAUUGGCCUAGAAAUUCCCUUUUGGUGUCUAAGGCUUGUGCAAAAGCUGUUUCUGGUACCCCAGCAGUCCCAACUGGAAAUUGUCCUCUGUUACCCAUCCACUCUGACCACGUUACAGGCCAGGGGCCAAAGCCCUGUCAAAAAUACAGAAAGCACACUGGUAUUUUUGACCCAGAUCAGCAUGCCAGAGACAUUAAUUUCGUUACAUAACCACUAGGUGGCAAUUUAGCAGUCCUAUUCUAAAUGUUUAAUAUAUGCAAUUUAUUUUUUGCAUUAGACACAAACGAUGAAUGGCAAUGUGAAUGAAAUUCAGGAAAAUCUACACUGGCUGUUUCUGCCAAAUAUAAUGAAGUCUUUCUGCUUACUGGACCCCUCCCAGAUGUUAAUUAAAUUGAGUGCCUCUGAAUACCUCAGUGAACACCUCUGGCCAGGUAGCAGGACAAGGAGUUAUUAAUUAUCAUGGAAAAAUAAGAGUUCUCCUAAAUGUUGAAUGUACACUUGGUGUUGCAGGCUAUAUAGCUGUAGCUGUAUAUGCUAUGAGGAGACUGACUCUAUCCACAGCCAUAGCUAUAUAACCGCGAGGUAGCUAUCUGCAUACACUGAAAGUGAUUUUAUGUGGCAGCACACCAAAGGCAGCAGGGGAGCUGCUGUGGCCUUUGUAUCUGCCAAAUGUGUCUGUGGAGACUCCGCUUCCCCCUCUCCCUGCUAACCAAAGAGCAGAAAGAUAGUAUGAAGCAUUUUCCUAGAAAUUAAAAGCUAUUUUCCUUAUGAACAGCUAUUGUAAGGUUGUCUGAGGGGGCUGGAUUGCUGCAGAAAGCAUUUCUGGUCUGGAAGAUUUAAGACUGGCAUCUAAACAGAGAGAGAGAGGAGACCUUGAAAGUAAGAGGGGUUGCUUUUCAUGCUGUGACUGAUGAAGAGCUGCUGUUCUCUGCUCUGCUCGCGGCUCUCAGACACCGUUACCCGCUGCAAAUCCCAGCGCCACCUGCUGCAGAAGUGACUGUACUGAAAGGUACUAAAGGAUAUCGUAUGAUGUUUAGAUGUUUUAACGUUGUCAUUGCUUUACAAGGGUUCGGUUCGCAUGCUUCGGUGACUAUGCGGCUCAACCAGCACCACCCAGCAAGAACCAGUUGGAGCAGCGCGCCCCCUGCUGGCCAGAGGAGGCCUCUGCGGGCGUCCGCGCCCCCUGGUGGUUCUCAGGGCUCCCGCGCAAAGCUGCUGCCCGGCCUCUCUUAGAACGAUGGGCUUCCGCUCUUUGUGCUUUGAAGCAUAGAGCACCCCUGCAAAUAUUUGGUAUUAUUAAAAGUUCCCCCACCCGCGAUGCUCCUUACAGCUUAGAGGGGAAAGAGUCCCAAAAUCACUCUCCUGUGUUUUUGCUGAGCAACAAGAGGGAAGCCGAACAGCAGCUGUGAAGCUUCUCUCUGGCAAAGGCUUUCCUUAUUUGACACUGCUUUAUGUUCAGUGGUUGUUAAUUACACGUGAAAAUGAUCAUAUUUGAAAAUGUUCUUAGAAAAACUCAAUUACAAGCAUGAAAAGUAUUUUCCCUUGUUUAUUUCCUGUGUGCAAACUGAGAAGCUUCAUGUUCAGUUGAUAACCAGUAGCAGUAGGAACCUACUUUCCAUAAAAAAGUCUUAAAAAGCCCUUUCAUCCCAGAGAGUGUUCUAAAAAUAAACAUUGUCUUUACUCUGAGGAAACAGUGUGGGGAUAUUGUGGUGUUGGUGUUUUUUUUAAUCAAAUAACUGGAUUUUGAUUCGUGACUGCUGGUUUUUUCCUUUAACAAAAAUUCAAACAGUUUCAUAACAUUAUCAUUUUGACAAAGUAAUAAUUUUCAAAACACUCUUUUUUUUUCCCUUUAAGGCAAGACAAGUUAGUAUAUAUUGGAAUUACAGUACAUUUGGCUUUAAAAUAUCAAUUUUUAAUUCAUUUUUACAGGAAUUGCUGUAUUAUUUGUUACAUACAUUAUUUCUCCUCUUUAAGUCAAAAAGAAAUAACCAACCCAUAACCUCUUCCAUUCCAUAUCUGAAACUCAUAAAAAAAAAAAUCCCCCCAAUGCACUGUUAUCUAAAUAACAUACUUAAAACCAGAACUA